rnacentral:misc_RNA from 1 species
UAAUAAGUGUUUUAUGGCACUUUUUAAAUCCAUAUCCACCUUGUGUGCAAUGUCGGUCGAUCUUCUUUUUUUGAGGAUCGACCAAACAUCAACCUUUAUUUUUUAACUCUUUGUCUGAAAAAUAUAUGAAUAAACAAUUUAAAAUA